AGCUCCAAUAGCGUAUAUUAAAGUUGUUGCAGUUAAAAAGCUCGUAGUUGGAUUUCUGGUGUGAGGGAACGGUCCGACCUCUGGUGGGUACUUGCUUCCUCUCACGCCAUCCUUGAGUGGUGCGUUCUGGCAUUCAGUUGUCGGGACGUUAGCCGCUCAUCGUUUACUGUGAGAAAAUUAGAGUGUUCAAAGCAGGCUUAUGCCGUUGAAUAUAUUAGCAUGGAAUAAUAAGAUAGGACUUCGGUACUAUUGUGUGGGUUUGCGCACCGAUGUAAUGAUUAAUAGGGACAGUUGGGGGUAUUCGUAUUCAGUUGUCAGAGGUGAAAUUCUUAGAUUUACGGAAGACGAACUACUGCGAAAGCAUUUACCAAGGAUGUUUUCA
rnacentral:rRNA from 1 species